rnacentral:pre_miRNA from 1 species
ACUUUGAUAAUAGCGAAUCGUAUUCCAGAACUGGAAGGUGCUACGCUAUUGUCGUUCG